AGCCAAUGUCGUAGGGGACUAACAAGAGAGGGCGGUUACUUCAUUUGCAAAGCGUGCAAAUCGAAGGUUGACUAUCCAAGGACGAGGUUUCGGAUUCAAGCGGAUGUAACUGAUGGAACGAUGAGCACCGUUGUCACCCUCUUUGAUGAGGUUGCUGAGCAGUUGGUCAAGAGGACCGCAAAAUCCUUAGUAGAAGAGCAGCUAAAUGAUACUUCUCUAGAUGCUCC